rnacentral:rRNA from 1 species
AGUGAGCGCUGGCGGUAGGCCUAACACAUGCAAGUCGAACGGCAGCACAGUAAGAGCUUGCUCUUACGGGUGGCGAGUGGCGGACGGGUGAGGAAUACAUCGGAAUCUACUUUUUCGUGGGGGAUAACGUAGGGAAACUUACGCUAAUACCGCAUACGACCUACGGGUGAAAGCAGGGGAUCUUCGGACCUUGCGCGAUUGAAUGAGCCGAUGUCGGAUUAGCUAGUUGGCGGGGUAAAGGCCCACCAAGGCGACGACCCGUAGCUGGUCUGAGAGGAUGAUCAGCCACACUGGAACUGAGACACGGUCCAGACUCCUACGGGAGGCAGCAGUGGGGAAUAUUGGACAAUGGGCGCAAGCCUGAUCCAGCCAUACCGCGUGGGUGAAGAAGGCCUUCGGGUUGUAAAGCCCUUUUGUUGGGAAAGAAAAGCAGCAGGUUAAUACCCCGCUGUUCUGACGGUACCCAAAGAAUAAGCACCGGCUAACUUCGU